GAUGAACGCUGGCGGCGUGCCUAAUACAUGCAAGUCGAGCGAACAGACGAGGAGCUUGCUCCUCUGACGUUAGCGGCGGACGGGUGAGUAACACGUGGAUAACCUACCUAUAAGACUGGGAUAACUUCGGGAAACCGGAGCUAAUACCGGAUAAUAUAUUGAACCGCAUGGUUCAAUAGUGAAAGACGGUUUUGCUGUCACUUAUAGAUGGAUCCGUGCCGCAUUAGCUAGUUGGUAAGGUAACGGCUUACCAAGGCAACGAUGCGUAGCCGACCUGAGAGGGUGAUCAGCCACACUGGAACUGAGACACGGUCCAGACUCCUACGGGAGGCAGCAGUAGGGAAUCUUCCGCAAUGGGCGAAAGCUUGACGGAGCAACGCCGCGUGAGUGAUGAAGGUCUUCGGAUCGUAAAACUCUGUUAUUAGGGAAGAACAAAUGUGUAAGUAACUAUGCACGUCUUGACGGUACCUAAUCAGAAAGCCACGGCUAACUACGUG
rnacentral:rRNA from 1 species